rnacentral:rRNA from 1 species
GUACAUGCAGUCGAGCGAAUGACGAGAAGCUUGCUUCUCUGAUUUAGCGGCGGACGGGUGAGUAACACGUGGGCAACCUGCCCUACAGAUCGGGAUAACUCAGGGAAACCUGGGCUAAUACCGGAUAAUCCUUCGAAUCACAUGUUUUGAAGUUGAAAGGCGCUUCGGCGUCACUGUAGGAUGGGCCCGCGGUGCAUUAGCUAGUUGGUGGGGUAACGGCCUACCAAGGCAACGAUGCAUAGCCGACCUGAGAGGGUGAUCGGCCACAUUGGGACUGAGACACGGCCCAAACUCCUACGGGAGGCAGCAGUAGGGAAUCUUCCACAAUGGACGAAAGUCUGAUGGAGCAACGCCGCGUGAGUGAUGAAGGUUUUCGGAUCGUAAAACUCUGUUGUAAGGGAAGAACAAGUACGUUAGGAAAUGAACGUACCUUGACGGUACCUUAUUAGAAAGCCACGGCUAACUACGUGCCAGCAGCCGCGGUAAUACGUAGGUGGCAAGCGUUGUCCGGAUUUAUUGGGCGUAAAGCGCGCGCAGGUGGUUUCUUAAGUCUGAUGUGAAAGCCCACGGCUCAACCGUGGAGGGUCAUUGGAAACUGGGGAACUUGAGUGCAGAAGAGGAUAGUGGAAUUCCAAGUGUAGCGGUGAAAUGCGUAGAGAUUUGGAGGAACACCAGUGGCGAAGGCGACUGUCUGGUCUGUAACUGACACUGAG